AAAGCAAGGCUAUUGGUUAAUAGACAAGUGAGCUUUGAAAACCUUUGUUAGAGAAAGGGAAAUCCCAAUAGGCAAGUCAUAUGGACACUCAACCAAACAACCUUACAAUAGUUUUGGUUCCUAAAAAAGGGUCUUUCAACAUAUUUUAGACUAAUCCAAGGCCUUUCCUAAAGAACAGAAAGGGAGGAAGAGAAAAGCAAGAAAUGGAUUUACAACAUGAUCACAGUUUUGGCAAAUAAGGAAACCAAACAUCACAUAAAGAACAAGUCUAAACCAAUAAACCAAGUGGUUCUGAUGUGUUGCAGUUUUGUUACAACACUGAAUUUGAUUAGAGAUCUGCAUUCCUCUUAUGGCUUAUUUGCAGGAAUUGUCUGAAAGAAAUUGAAUUUUGAAAGAGUGCUUGGAUAUGGUUUCCUAUUAUUAUUUCAAUUAAGCGAGAUCUUUUUCAAUAUACUUGCAUUUAUGUCUAUCAGAAAAUGAUAUUUCAUAAAGUUUAGUCUAUCUGUAUUAGUUGCACCAAAAGCAAUAUAAAUUGUACAAAAAAGAGGGACGAACAAGGGCAAUUUGGGGAUAUCAAAUAUUAUUAAUUUGUGCAUCAGUGUACACGUGUACUACAUUCUAUAAACAUGUCUCCUCUUGCUGAACUAAAUUAAAAGACCUAAUCACUACUAUCGCGCAUUGUAGAACAACAAUUCCCUUUAUCUUUCUCUUCCACCUUCAAUUCCAUCGCCAUGCAUAAAUUUUUCUGUUCGAGUUUGCUGAUGUUGGAUUUUUAUUCUGCAACAAUUUUGGAAUAGAUAAAUGCUGAUAAUCAAAUCAAAAUUGAUGAUUGAGUUGUUACAAAGCCGAGUUUAUGUAAAUGAGAGGAAUUGGGUUCGUAAAUUGCUUUGUAGUUGAUACCCUCUUCGGACAUUCUGUGCUCCUCAUGUAGCAUUUUUUCAUUUGAAACAUCUAUGGAUGCACUCUCCAAAAUUCAUAAUGAAAAGGUUCUACACUUUAUAAGUGCGUAAAUAGAGUUAUGGCGACAUGUCUCGCUAGAUCCCUAGGAAUUGGUGUUCAUGGGUUGCAAGUCAAUCUGGAGAAAGAUUUGAACUUGUUAUUCUCCAAGCUUAAGUCUUCCACUUAGAUUACGAGACUAUGAAUGAUCUUACGUAGAUUGCAAGACAAGAAGUAAGUUGGAAAGUGAAAAGUAAGCUUCCAGGUAUGUAAGGCAAACCUUUCUUCCUUUGGCAUGAUUCUUGUUGUUAUUCAUUAUGUACUCCAUAUGAUUCCAUUCUUAGACAAGUAAGGUCUAAAUGUUUUCCUGUGAUGGCUUAUUGAUAUUAUACUCCUAUUUUGUUCCGAAGGGAACACCCAUAAGGUGCCAAGUUGAGUUGUGUAUAUGGUUUUACUAAUUAUUUCAAGGAAAUGAGUUUUAUACUAAAGGAAACAUAAAGUUUGAUUUUCAAGAUCACUCCUAAGGGGGUGCGAGGUUUUACUACUUCUUUUCAUUUACGAUUUAUGUCUACAUUCCAUAGUAUCAUCCCUUUGUAUUGUUAUGAUCAUUUAUUCUUUGGGUAGGGAAAUAAGAUGAAAUUGAGUAGAAUAUAAGUAGUAAGAAUUUCAUAACAAUUCUACCCUCAAACCUGGAAGUAUGUCCUCCUAAGUCUAGUGAGAUACAAAUUUGAUAGCUUCUUAUGAAAAACUAAGGCUAAUAACUGGAUUGUGAUGAAUUGAGUAGUGACUUAUGAUAUGAAUUGAAAUUGAUAUUUGUGGAUUGAUUUUGUGUUGAUAUGAUGGUGAUAUUAAGUCGGAAGCGCCUCCCCGAAGGGGCCAUCAUUAUUAAGCCGGAAGCGGAUGCCCGAUGGGGCCAUCAUUAUUAUGCCGGAAGCGGCCGUCCGAAGGGAGUAUUGUGAUACUAGCCGGAAGCGGCUGUUUGAAGGGACUAUUCUGUUAACAUGUCAGAAACGGCAUGUGUGUUGGAUUGCAUUAUUUACUUAAAGAUUGUUUAAGACUUCGUGUGGACAUUUAUGUUUCUUCCAGCGAAGGCUGCAGGUAUUGAGUUAGAUUGUGAUUUCUUCUCUCCUAAGUCUAAUUAUUAUUAUGACUUGUUACCACCUUACAUACUCAGUACAUUGUCCGUACUGACGUCCUUUUGCCUGGGGACGCUGCGUUCAUGCCCGCAGCUCUAGAUUGUUUGACAGGUUAAGAGUAUAGCUAAGAUGCUUGGACGUCAGCUGGUAUUGGCAAGUUCCACCUCAUUCUGGAGCUAUGUUGAGUCAUGUAUAGAUAUGUAUGAUUAUGGGUAUGUCAGGGCCCUGUCCUGACUCAUAAUAUUCAGUUUACUUCUUAGAUACUUCUGCAGAUAGUAUCCUGUGGUAUGUUUGUCGAGAUGUCGACAAAGUGAUGUCAGUUGAGUCAUUUGUGGAUUUUAAAAAAGUAUGUAUUUUAGAUGAUUUCAAUUGGUUUAAAGUACUUAUUUGAUUGAAAGUUUUCAUAAUUAUUAUAAAGAUAAUGAUUUUUAUUUGGAAAAGUUUUAUGUUCUUAAUGUUUUUGAAAUGACAGGUUUUGAUAGAGCGAAUGUCUGAGGGUUCACUCGACUCUGGUGAGAGUCGGGUGCCCGUCAUGCCCUAUCAGGAUUGGGGUGUGACAGCUUACUCACAAGGAUGCUUGAAACUGAUAUUACAAUGGAUGGGCAUGAGAAUUCAGAACGCAAACACUCCAAGGACUAUGGAGAAGAAUGUCAAGGAAGAUUAGGGGGAAGAAAUGCCGAGGCUUUGUUCUAGCAGUAUUGACAGCUCUAGUAUACAACAUAUGGAAAGCACGGAAUGAAGCACAUUGGAAUCAAAAAGUCUACAUCCAAAUGUCAUACAAGAUCAAAUUCAGAGGGAAUGCCGGAUUAAAGUAUAUAAUCAUAUAGAUAGAAGAAUGAAUAGACAGGGAUGAGAAUGGAUACAAAGCUUAUACUGUGGAAGUAACACACUGAUAGGAUAUAGAAUAGAUUCAGGUUUGGCCCUUGAGGUGUGUACAGUUACAUUUGUGUAUGUUGUUUGUUCUGGUGAGUAACAAAAUUUUUUCGUUCCCAAAAAAUGAAACGCCGUAUAUAUUGGUGGGAAUUAUAAUAUAAGGAUCAAUAAUGUAGGAAUUCAUGUGAUGCAUGAAUUAACAAUGCAACAAUUGUAUAUUAUAUAAAAUAAUUAAUUAA